rnacentral:rRNA from 1 species
AGAGUUUGAUCAUGGCUCAGGAUGAACGCUAGCGGCAGGCUUAAUACAUGCAAGUCGAGGGGUAACAUGGGGUAGCAAUACUCCGAUGACGACCGGCAAACGGGUGCGGAACACGUACGCAACCUUCCCAAAACUGGUGAAUAGCCCUCCGAAAGGAGGAUUAAUACACCGUAACUUAACGAAGUGGCAUCAUUUUGUUAAUAUAGGCUUCGGCCGGUUUUGGAUGGGCGUGCGCCUGAUUAGGUAGUUGGCGGGGUAACGGCCCACCAAGCCUGCGAUCAGUAACUGGUGUGAGAGCACGACCAGUCACACGGGCACUGAGACACGGGCCCGACUCCUACGGGAGGCAGCAGUAAGGAAUAUUGGUCAAUGGACGAAAGUCUGAACCAGCCAUGCCGCGUGAAGGAUUAAGGCCCUCUGGGUUGUAAACUUCUUUUAUCUGGGACGAAAAAAGGGUAUUCUUACUCACUUGACGGUACCAGAGGAAUAAGCACCGGCUAACUCCGUGCCAGCAGCCGCGGUAAUACGGAGGGUGCAAGCGUUAUCCGGAUUUACUGGGUUUAAAGGGUGCGUAGGUGGGUUUGUAAGUCAGUGGUGAAAUCUCCGAGCUUAACUCGGAAACUGCCGUUGAUACUAUAAAUCUUGAAUUAUAUGGAGGUAAGCGGAAUAUGUCAUGUAGCGGUGAAAUGCUUAGAUAUGACAUAGAACACCAAUUGCGAAGGCAGCUUACUACGUAUUUAUUGACACUGAGGCACGAAAGCGUGGGGAUCAAACAGGAUUAGAUACCCUGGUAGUCCACGCCCUAAACGAUGGAUACUCGACAUUAGCGAUACACUGUUAGUGUUUGAGCGAAAGCAUUAAGUAUCCCACCUGGGAAGUACGAUCGCAAGAUUGAAACUCAAAUGAAUUGACGG